rnacentral:rRNA from 1 species
GAUGAACGCUGGCGGCGUGCCUAAUACAUGCAAGUCGAGCGAAGCGGGGACGGGUGAGUAACACGUGGAUAACCUCCUAUAAGACUGGGAUAACUUCGGGAAACCGGAGCUAACCCGGAUACUUAUCGCUGGAUCCGCGCGGCAUUCGCUAGUUGGUAAGGUAACGGCUUACCAAGGCAACGAUGCAUAGGCGACCUGAGAGGGUGAUCGGACACACUGGAACUGAGACACGGUCCAGACGCCUACGGGAGGCAGCAGUAGGGAAUCUUCCGCAAUGGGCGAAAGCCUGACGGAGCAACGCCGCGUAUGUGUUGAAGGUCUUAGGACCGUAAAACUCUGUUAUUAGGGAAGCGGUACCUAGUCAGAAAGCAACGGCUAACAACGUGCCAGCAGCCGCGGUAAUUC